UGAGCUCCAACCUCCGCUGAUUCGACCAAUAGGAAGCGGCUGCUAGGAGCAGCAGGAUCCGCCGACCAAUCAGCGUUUGCCUGACGAGGUUGGCUUGCGUCCGUCGUAAUUGGCUGUGACGUAUGACGUCAGCAGCGCUGAGGAAGUCAGAGGCAGAGCGGCACAGAAACAAUGUCGAAAACUUAAGUUGAAUAAAGGAGUAAAACCGACGUUGAGCCGCCGCUUUAUCAGCACCGUGAUACGGUUCAUUACUGAACACGUCUGGAUGCUAGAACUGUUUCUGUCGAGCACGAGAGAGGCUGGAGGCUGAGCACACCUGAGGAUGUGACCGUGAACUGCUCAUUUUCUGAAACAGCCUGAAACGUUGGAGCUGAAGCAGCAGGUGAAUUUAGGCAGCUCGAGUUAACAACAAAGUGCAUUAAGAAGUGUCACCACUUGGUCGUUGACUGCAGAGAGACCUCGUACCAUAAAGACAGAGGUGCAGAAAACAGAAACACUUGGAUCCACUGAAGGAGGAGACGACAGCAGCUGAAGAUCUGGACCUGAAAAAGAGAUGAAGCUGAAAAAGAGGACUGCGGUGUUCCCCAGGGCUCAGUGCUAGGUCCUCUUUUUACCCUAUACCUGCUCCCCCUUGGUGUAAAAAUGGACCCCCACCUCAUUUACAAUGCCCACAUCCAACAACUCUGUAAAACCUCUUUCAGUCACCUCAAGAACAUCGGCAAACUCCAUCCGUUCUCACUCUGGCAGAUGCAGAAAAGCUGGUCCACGCCUUUGUCUCCUCCACCUGAGGGCACCGCAGGUCAUGGACACUUUUAAACGUGCCCUGAAAACUCACCUUUUUAAAAAGGCCUAUUGUUGCUGAUUUUAAUUGCUGUUGAUUUUACUCUGUAGCACUUUGAGAUUUGAUUUUAACUAAAAUAUAUUUUUAUAUUUAUUUAUUAUACAACAGAUCCACUUUAACCACCACCAUCUUACUGCUCCGUCACUUCCUGUUGAGUGGAGACGCUUUGUUUAAGUCUCCCACCUCUCACUAUAAUGAAGUUAUGAGCACAUGUUCCAUGUUAGUUUGUGGAACAUGUGCUCAUAUCUACAUUAUAGUGUUGUUAAACAAGUGGGAGACUACAGCAAGGCGUCUCCCAGUGGUCAGACAUCUGUCAUUAUCUCUGCUAUGGUUUGCUUAAUGUUUUCUGGAACAAAACCAUCAAAAGUUUCUGAAUUGAUGUUAUGUGAUGUUAUUUGAUUUAUUAAUAAAUUAUGCUACAUUAAAUAUACAUAGAUUAAUUCUAUUAUGACAGAUUGCAUUUAUUUGUACAGAUUACUUCUGUCAUGAAUUAUGUCAUUUGUGUAUUCAUUCUGUUUUAUGAAUUAAAUAAAUUAUU